AAACUUACCUGGCAGGGGAGAUACCAUGAUCACGAAGCUGGUUUUCCCAGGGCAAGGCUUAUCCACUGCACUCCAGAUGUACUGACCCCUGCCAUUUCCCCAAAUGUGGGAAACUCAACUGCAUAAUUUGUGUUCGUGGGGGACUGUGUUCAUGCUUUCCCCGG
ensembl:snRNA U1 U1 spliceosomal RNA